rnacentral:rRNA from 1 species
GACGAACGCUGGCGGCGUGCCUAAUACAUGCAAGUAGAACGCUGAAGCGAGGAGCUUGCUCUUCUUGGCUGAGUUGCGAACGGGUGAGUAACGCGUAGGUAACCUGCCUUGUAGCGGGGGAUAACUAUUGGAAACGAUAGCUAAUACCGCAUAACAAUGGAUGACACAUGUCAUUUAUUUGAAAGGGGCAAUUGCUCCACUACAAGAUGGACCUGCGUUGUAUUAGCUAGUAGGUGAGGUAAUGGCUCACCUAGGCGACGAUACAUAGCCGACCUGAGAGGGUGAUCUGCCACACUGGGACUGAGACACGGCCCAGACUCCUACGGGAGGCAGCAGUAGGGAAUCUUCGGCAAUGGGGGCAAGCCUGACCGAGCAACGCCGCGUGAGUGAAGAAGGUUUUCGGAUCGUAAAGCUCUGUUGUAAGUCAAGAACGGGUGUGAGAGUGGAAAGUUCACACUGUGACGGUAGCUGACCAGAAAGGGACGGCUAACUACGUG